GGGCUGCAGUAUUUUGACUGUACAAAGGUAGCAUAAUCAAUAGUCUCUUAAUUGGUGACUUGUAUGAAAGAUUGGAUGAGAUAUAAACUGUCUCUAAUUAAUUUAUAAAAAUUAAUUUUUUAGUAAAAAAGCUAAAAUAAUUUUAAAAGACGAGAAGACCCUAUAGAGUUUAAUAUUUUAUUUAGUAAUUAUUAAUAUAUGUAAUUUUAAAAAUUAAAAUUAAAUGAAAUAUUUUGUUGGGGUGAUAAAAAAAUUAAAUUAACUUUUUUUGAUUGUAUACAUUAAUUUAUGGUUAAAUGAUCCAUUUAUAGUGAUUAAAAGAAAAAAUUACCUUAGGGAUAACAGCGUAAUUUUUUUUUUUAGUUCAAAUAGGAAAAAAAGUUUGCGACCUCGAUGUUGGAUUAA
rnacentral:rRNA from 1 species